CUCCCGUGAAAAUGAUGUCACAGACGUAAAUAAACAAAAUGGCAACGUUCACGUUACACUGGAAGCCCAUCGAGAGACGAGGGAAUAAGGCAUUGGACAUCAAUAGAGCUGAGAGUGCCAGCAGCCGAUGACAUCUCUUAUAAACGGUCCUUUUCAGGACCAUCAAUAUUUUACAAAAAGAUUCUACUUUUGUUGUAAAUUCGAGAAAUUCGAACACAAAUGUAUUUUCAAAUAUCAG
rnacentral:lncRNA from 1 species